UAAGUACUAGUCAGCAGUUAAUGCUUUUUAUAUACGAAUAUAUAUAUUUAUGAUAGUUAUAUAUAUUUAUAAUACUAUGCGUAGCAAUCUGAUAGACAACAAUGAGGUGCAAAGUUAUUUUGUUCGGCAUUUGGCCAAAUAUGAAAUCAAAUCAUUCACCAGCGAAUAAAUAAUGGAAGAUUGCUUCAACUUAAAUGCUAAUUAAAUUUACGGAAAAUAAUAUUUGACUAUUUGGCUGGACUGUUUCGCUGUUGUAGUUGUUGUCGUUGUCGUUGUUGUUGGUGGUAAUGAUCGUUGGUAACGUUGCGUGGGCUUCUUUCGAUCUUUUCAUUUUAGGAUCUUUUCAUUAUAA